UACGUAGGUGGCAAGCGUUGUCCGGAUUUAUUGGGUUUAAAGGGUGCGUAGGCGGCCGUGUAAGUCUGGCGUGAAAGCCCCGGGCUCAGCCCGGGAAGUGCGCUCGAAACUGCGCGGCUCGAGUGCCGGAGGGGAGAGUGGAAUUCCUGGUGUAGCGGUGAAAUGCGUAGAUAUCAGGAGGAAUACCGGUGGCGAAAGCGGUUCUCUGGGACGGUACUGACGCUGAGACGCGAAAGCGUGGGGAGCGAACAGG
rnacentral:rRNA from 1 species